GACGGGGACCCGCACAAGCGGUGGAUGAUGUGGAUUAAUUCGAUGCAACGCGAAAAACCUUACCUACCCUUGACAUGGCAGGAAUCCUGAAGAGAUUUGGGAGUGCUCGCAAGAGAACCUGCACACAGGUGCUGCAUGGCUGUCGUCAGCUCGUGUCGUGAGAUGUUGGGUUAAGUCCCGCAACGAGCGCAACCCUUGUCAUUAGUUGCUACGAAAGGGCACUCUAAUGAGACUGCCGGUGACAAACCGGAGGAAGGUGGGGAUGACGUCAAGUCCUCAUGGCCCUUAUGGGUAGGGCUUCACACGUCAUACAAUGGUACAUACAGAGGGCUGCCAACCCGCGAGGGGGAGCUAAUCCCAGAAAGUGUAUCGUAGUCCGGAUUGUAGUCUGCAACUCGACUACAUGAAGUUGGAAUCGCUAGUAAUCGCGGAUCAGCAUGUC
rnacentral:rRNA from 1 species